CUGCGUGAGCGGACGAAAACAACAACACCUAAAAUGUGGAAUAUAGCAUAUAGUCGACAAGAGAAAUCUACGAAAAAACAAACAAAACUUUCAACAACGGAUCUCUUGGUUCUCGCAUCGAUGAAGAGCGCAGCGAAAUGCGAUACCUAGUGUGAAUUGCAGCCAUCGUGAAUCAUCGAGUUCUUGAACGCACAUUGCGCCCCUCGGCAUUCCGGGGGGCAUGCCUGUUUGAGCGUCGUUUCCAUCUUGCGCGUGCGCAGAGUUGGGGGAGCGGAGCGGACGACGUGUAAAGAGCGUCGGAGCUGCGACUCGCCUGAAAGGGAGCGAAGCUGGCCGAGCGAACUAGACUUUUUUUCAGGGACGCUUGGCGGCCGAGAGCGAGUGUUGCGAGACAACAAAAAGCUCGACCUCAAAUCAGGUAGGAAUACCCGCUGAACUUAA
rnacentral:rRNA from 1 species